rnacentral:rRNA from 1 species
GUGGAUUAGAUACCCCGGUAGUCCACGCCGUAAACGAUGAUGACUCGACGUUGGCAAUAUACUGUUCAGCGUCCAAGUGAAAACGUUAAGUCAUCCACCUGGGGAGUACGAUCGCAAGGUUGAAACUCAAAGGAAUUGACGGGGGCCCGCACAAGCGGUGGAGCAUGUGGUUUAAUUCGAUGAUACGCGAGGAACCUUACCAGGGCUUAAAUGGGAAUUGACAGAUUGGGAAACUAAUCCUCCUUCGGGCAAUUUUCAAGGUGCUGCACGGUCGUCGACAACU